GUAGUCCACUGACUGGUUUAACACUAAGUGGUACUACAACAAACCGAGACUUUCUUCACUUUCAAAAUGAUAUCCUAAAUUGACAAACAUCUAUG